rnacentral:rRNA from 1 species
AGAGUUUGAUCAUGGCUCAGAUUGAACGCUGGCGGCAGGCCUAACACAUGCAAGUCGAACGGUAACAUUUCUAGCUUGCUAGAAGAUGACGAGUGGCGGACGGGUGAGUAAUGCUUGGGAACAUGCCUUGAGGUGGGGGACAACAGUUGGAAACGACUGCUAAUACCGCAUAAUGUCUACGGACCAAAGGGGGCUUCGGCUCUCGCCUUUAGAUUGGCCCAAGUGGGAUUAGCUAGUUGGUGAGGUAAUGGCUCCACAAGGCAGCAAUCCCUAC